AUAUUUCCAUAUGAAAGGUGGUGGUGGUGUAACCAUUACAAAGAAUUAAGUAUCAGAUGUGAAUAUUCUUGUGUUGAAAAUAAAAUAGAACUAUAUGGUGGCCCUUCUAAUUGUCAUGGUAAUGUAAGAGUCUGUGUCAAUGGUUUAUGGGUUAUGGUGUGUGGAUACGGUAAUACUGUCAUUGAUAAUAAUCUAGCUAGUGUUGUCUGUUCCAGCAUUGGAUACUCAGCUUAUGGUGCUAAAAGUGCUAUAGGACUGUGGAAAAAGAAUUAUUACUAUCCAUAUCAGUUUUAUGAUGUACAGUGUUAUGGAAAUGAGAGCAGCUUAUUUGACUGUCAGUAUAACACUACAGGAUCAUGUCCUAAUGUGAA